AUUUUUUAGGUUUUUUUUUCUGCUCAGGACGAACGCUGGCGGCGUGCCUAAUACAUGCAAGUCGAGCGGACAGAUGGGAGCUUGCUCCCUGAUGUUAGCGGCGGACGGGUGAGUAACACGUGGGUAACCUGCCUGUAAGACUGGGAUAACUCCGGGAAACCGGGGCUAAUACCGGAUGCUUGUUUGAACCGCAUGGUUCAAACAUAAAAGGUGGCUUUUAGCUACCACUUACAGAUGGACCCGCGGCGCAUUAGCUAGUUGGUGAGGUAACGGCUCACCAAGGCAACGAUGCGUAGCCGACCUGAGAGGGUGAUCGGCCACACUGGGACUGAGACACGGCCCAGACUCCUACGGGAGGCAGCAGUAGGGAAUCUUCCGCAAUGGACGAAAGUCUGACGGAGCAACGCCGCGUGAGUGAUGAAGGUUUUCGGAUCGUAAAACUCUGUUGUUAGGGAAGAACAAGUACCGUUCGAAUAGGGCGGUACCUUGACGGUACCUGACCAGAAAGCCACGGCUAACUACGUGCCAGCAGCCGCGGUAAUACGUAGGUGGCAAGCGUUGUCCGGAAUUAUUGGGCGUAAAGCGCGCGCAGGCGGUUUCUUAAGUCUGAUGUGAAAGCCCCCGGCUCAACCGGGGAGGGUCAUUGGAAACUGGGGAACUUGAGUGCAGAAGAGGAGAGUGGAAUUCCACGUGUAGCGGUGAAAUGCGUAGAGAUGUGGAGGAACACCAGUGGCGAAGGCGACUCUCUGGUCUGUAACUGACGCUGAGGCGCGAAAGCGUGGGGAGCGAACAGGAUUAGAUACCCUGGUAGUCCACGCCGUAAACGAUGAGUGCUAAGUGUUAGAGGGUUUCCGCCCUUUAGUGCUGCAGCAAACGCAUUAAGCAUUCCGCCCGGGAGA
rnacentral:rRNA from 1 species